rnacentral:rRNA from 1 species
GACGAACGCUGGCGGCGUGCUUAACACAUGCAAGUCGAACGGAAAGGCCCUGCUUUUGUGGGGUGCUCGAGUGGCGAACGGGUGAGUAACACGUGAGUAACCUGCCUUUGACUUUGGGAUAACUUCAGGAAACUGGGGCUAAUACCUGAUACGAGCUCCUGCUGCAUGGUGGGGGUUGGAAAUUUUCGGCGGUUGUGGGUGUACUCGGGGCUUAUCAGCUUGUUGGUGGGGUAGUGGCUUACCACGGCUUUGAGGGGUAGCCGGCCUGAGAGGGUGGACUGGCACCAUGCGCCUGAGAUAAGGCACAGACUCGAACGGGAGGCAGGGGGGGAGAGUAUUACACAGUGGGCGGAAGCCUGAUGCGGCCACGCCGCGUGCGGGAAGACGGCCUUCGGGUUGUAAACCGCAUUCGCUUGAGACGAAGCGGGAGUGACGGUACUGGGUGAAGAAGCACCGGCUAACUACGUG